rnacentral:lncRNA from 1 species
CGACCGUUUCUUUUUCUUUCUGCAAUGUUUCGAGAUAAUAUCUUACGCAAGGCCUUUAAUGUUGGGGAUGAUUCAAAUAACCCGUGUGACUAUCAUGAGACAGUAAGGCAUGCUGAGUAACAAUACAAAAUUUGAAGUGAUAAAGAUAAUGUAUGACGAUCACACGCGACCUUCCUUUUUCUUUGGUUAAGAAGAUAUUGUCAUGGUUGUGGCUAUAAUGCACCAAACAUAGCAGCGGUAGAGUGAAAAUAACAAUGAUAAAUAUAAGUUAUUAUUUCGUUGUAUACAUGCAAAGGUGUUUGAC